CUCGUAGGCGGCCAACUAAGUCAUACGUGAAAUCCCUCAGCUUAACUGGGGAACUGCGUGUGAUACUGGAUGGCUUGGAUUUGGGAGAGGGAUGCGGAAUUCCAGGUGUAGCGGUGAAAUGCGUAGAUAUCUGGAGGAACACCGGUGGCGAAGGCGGCAUCCUGGACCAAUAUUGACGCUGAGGAGCGAAAGCCAGGGGAGCAAACG
rnacentral:rRNA from 1 species